rnacentral:rRNA from 1 species
CAGUAGCCACGGUAAUACGGAGGGUGCAAGCGUUAAUCGGAAUUACUGGCGUAAAGCGUGCGUAGGCGGUUCGUUAAGUCUGUUGUGAAAGCCCCGGGCUCAACCUGGGAAUGGCAAUGGAUACUGGCGAGCUAGAGUGUGUCAGAGGAUGGUGGAAUUCUCGGUGUAGCGGUGAAAUGCGUAGAGAUCGGGAGGAACAUCAGUGGCGAAGGCGGCCAUCUGGGACAACACUGACGCUGAGGCACGAAAGCGUGGGGAGCAAACAGGAUUAGAUACCCGGGUAGUCCCUGUCUCUUAUACA